rfam:Fukomys damarensis contig87850, whole genome shotgun sequence.
CCCUCAGCGCGCCGCUUGGCCCGUCUUUCUAAAUAUUAGUAUAAUAAAUAUAAAUGGCAUCGGAACGUGAGGGGGCAGGGGCCACGUGACCGCUCCACGAAAGCCACUUG